GCCUUUUGUACUUUGUUUUCAUCGAUUUUUUUUGCCCUACUUUCUCUCUCUCUCGGGCGAUUUGUGCGAUGGCGGAAUCCGAUAAAUCACAGGGUGAUGCAUUGUUUUCCGAUGAAUCCUAUGAUGGAGAGUGAAAUUAAAGGUGAAAUUAUGGUGGGUAUUUCAUCCGGAACCCUAGAAUUUGUGAUCUUCAACGGGAAAAAUGACUUCAACUCCGUCCGCCGGUCGUGAGCUCUCGAAUCCGCCGUCCGUCGGCUUUUCCAAUCUCCGAUUUUCCAUAACAGUAACUCCUCGUUUCUUCAUGGGAUAAGGUCCCUUUCUUUGGCUUUUACUGAUUUAAUUGAAGUCUCUUCUUCUUCUAAAGCUUUUUUUUGUUGUUCUGUUGUUGUGUGUUUGCUGCAAUUAAGCGUGUGAGAUUGUAUGAUGUGAGCACCAAUUCGUUGAAAGGGGAGUUCUUACAUGGCGGAGUAGUGCUCGAUUGCUGUCCGACGUUUGCAAGCUAAUCUCAGUGUUGUGAAGAGACUGGUUGGUAUAAGAAUGUUUCCACUCAGGCUAAUAAAAUGUCUACUCUUCACUUGGUCCUCCGUCUCUGUGGUGGUUUCUAAAUCUCGUCUCUCUUAUGGUUUAAGAAGUUCAUGUCUCGUUUGUUUUAAAACUUUGGUGGUUUGUGUUUUUGGGGCCUUGUAAAGCUCAUGAGAAAUAAUUGAUGAACUAUGUUUCCAUUCUUAUCUCCUCUGUUCUUUUUAAUGACAAAUCGAACUUCUUCUCUACUGGAAUUAUAUCCUACUUGUCUCUUUAUCAUCGUUGGUUUUUACAUGAUCUGUGCUUGUUUUGUUUAAUAAGUCUGAAAUGUGGCUCGACUCUGUU